GCCGGGCAAGGUGGCUCAUGCCUGUAAUCUCAGCACUUUGGGAGGCUGAGGUGGGUGGAUCACUUGAGGUCAGGAGUUCAAGACCAGCCUGGCCAACAUGGCAAAACCCCGUCUCUACUAAAAAUACAAAAAUUAGCUGGGUGUAGUGGCGGGUGCCUGUAAUCCCAGCUACUCAGGAGGCUGAGGCAGGAGAAUCGCUUGAACCCAGGAGGCGGAGGUUGCAUGAGCUGAGAUUGUGCCACUGUCCUCCAGCCUGGGCAACAGAGUGAGACUCCAUCUCA
ensembl:misc_RNA RN7SL605P RNA, 7SL, cytoplasmic 605, pseudogene